UUCCAGAAGACCUAAUGUGUUCCUGGCUACUCUUAUCUAAACUGAGUUUUUCCUGUUUCUUUUAAUCCUUCCCCUUUUAAAGUUCUCAGAUGGGGCAAAACAACAAAUCGUCUUCCAGCCUGCAGCUGGCGGCUCGGGAACAAUGGAGUGCUCACUCAGCGACUCACAAAUGAACUUCCCAGGCCGUGGACACGGGCUCCCUGCCCACUCAGGCGACCCAGCGCUCCCUUCCAUCGGCUCCACUCCACCCUCUGAUGGCUGGUCACCUGGAUACCUGUGUGAUGGUGUCAUUAACCUGGAUAUUGUCACACUGAAGCCCAGCUCUGCUCUUAUGUGGGAAUCACUCACAAAGAUGUUCACAGCAUCAUCCUCAUCUGUGUUCAAUGUCAAGCCAGCGUGGAUCCACUCUGAAGGAAAUGAGAAGGAAAUUCCCAGCACUGACCAAACUGGACCUGCAUGCCUAGCUCCUAUCUUUUCUAUCAGUGAGCAGCUGCCUUGGGUGGGACAGACAGCUGUGGUUGGGACAGCGACCGUAGUUGGUCAAUAUAGGUGCCUCUGGGGGUGGGGAAGACACUCUACUGACCACAGAUUGUCCAGUGUGGUUCCAACUGCUGUUAUUGGAAAUCUUUGCUGGACAUAUUUCUCAUUUUCCCAACUUUGUAAGACUCAUCUAGUAAGCAUAAUUGGAUUUUUACAAAAUUAGUCAGGAUUUUCUGAUUCCUGGGACAUCAGGGAGUGUGGAGAGCUGAUGUGUGGUGUCAACGAGGAAACUCCCUAAACAGCUAUUUAGACUACAUUCCUGGUUGGUUAUUUGCCUUCGCUGUAAGUGAAGAAGGAAAUAAGAAGGAAAUUCCCUGGGAGUGGGUUCCAGUGAACUCUGGCUGCAAAUACCGGCAGAUCUACAGGAGAUGGGGCUCCCUUCUCUGGGACCUCCUAGCCUGGGCUGCCCAGGCUGUCUG